rnacentral:rRNA from 1 species
UACGGAGGGUGCAAGCGUUAUCCGGAUUCACUGGGUUUAAAGGGUGCGUAGGCGGGUUGGUAAGUCCGUGGUGAAAUCUCCAAGCUUAACUUGGAAACUGCCGUGGAUACUAUCAAUCUUGAAUAUCGUGGAGGUAAGCGGAAUAUGUCAUGUAGCGGUGAAAUGCUUAGAUAUGACAUAGAACACCAAUUGCGUAGGCAGCUUACUACACGAUCAUUGACGCUGAGGCACGAAAGCGUGGGGAGCGAUCCGG